rnacentral:rRNA from 1 species
AGAGUUUGAUCAUGGCUCAGGAUGAACGCUAGCUACAGGCUUAACACAUGCAAGUCGAGGGGCAGCAUGGUCUUAGCUUGCUAAGGCCGAUGGCGACCGGCGCACGGGUGAGUAACGCGUAUCCAACCUGCCUUACACUCUUGGACAGCCUUCUGAAAGGGAGAUUAAUACAAGAUGUUAUCAUGAGUAAGCAUUUUCGCAUGAUUAAAGGUUACCGGUGUAAGAUGGGGAUGCGUUCCAUUAGAUAGUAGGCGGGGUAACGGCCACCUAGUCUUCGAUGGAUAGGGGUUCUGAGAGGAAGGUCCCCCANAUUGGAACUGAGUACACGGUCCAAACUCCUACGGGAGGCA